CCUACGGGAGGCAGCAGUGGGGAAUAUUGGACAAUGGGGGAAACCCUGAUCCAGCGACGCCGCGUGAGGGAAGAAGGAUUUCGGUACGUAAAGCUCUAUCAGCAGGGAAGAAAAUGACGGUACCUGACUAAGAAGCCCCGGCUAACUACGUGCCAACAGCCGCGGUAAUACGUAGGGGGCAAGCGUGAUCCGGAUUUACUGGGUGGAAAGGGAGCGGAGACGGCAGCGCAAGUGUGAAGGGAAAUGCCUGGGCCCAACCCCGGGACUGCUCUGGAAACUGUGAAGCUGGAGUGCAGCAGAGGUAAGCGGAAUUCCUGGUGUAGCGGUGAAAUGCGUAGAUAUCAGGAGGAACACCGGCGGCGAAGGCGGCUUACUGGACUGUAACUGACGUUGAGGCUCGAAGGCGUGGGGAGCAAACAGGAUUAGAUACCCGGGUAGUC
rnacentral:rRNA from 1 species